UACGAAGGGGGCUAGCGUUGCUCGGAAUCACUGGGCGUAAAGGGCGCGUAGGUGGCGCGGGCAGUCAACGGUGAAAGUUCGGGGCUCAACCCUGAAUCGGCCGUCGAUACUCCCGGGCUUGAGCACUGUAGAGGCAGAUGGAAUUCCUGGUGUAGCGGUGAAAUGCGCAGAUAUCAGGAGGAACACCGGUGGCGAAGGCGGGUCUCUGGGCCGUAACUGACGCUGGAGGAGCGAAAGCGUGGGGAGCGAACAGG
rnacentral:rRNA from 1 species